GGACCCGCACAAGCAGUGGAGCAUGUGGUUUAAUUCGAUGCAACGCGAAGAACCUUACCAGGGUUUGACAUCCUGCGAAUCUCUUGGAAACAGGAGAGUGCCUUCGGGAACGCAGUGACAGGUGGUGCAUGGCUGUCGUCAGCUCGUGUCGUGAGAUGUUGGGUUAAGUCCCGCAACGAGCGCAACCCACGUCUUUAGUUGCCAGCAUUUAGUUGGGCACUCUAGAGAGACUGCCGGUGAUAAACCGGAGGAAGGUGUGGAUGACGUCAAGUCAUCAUGCCCCUUACAUCCUGGGCUACACACGUACUACAAUGCUACGGACAAAGGGCAGCAAGUUCGCGAGGACAAGCAAAUCCCAUAAACCGUGGCUCAGUUCAGAUCGUAGGCUGCAACUCGCCUACGUGAAGGCGGAAUC
rnacentral:rRNA from 1 species